rnacentral:rRNA from 1 species
GCUCAGGAUGACCCUGGCGGCCAUGCUUACAACACAUGCAAGUCAACGGGAAUUGUUUUCCCGUGGCUAACGGGUGGUAACGCGUAAUAACCGCCCCUGGGAGGGGAACACAACUAAACGGUUGCUAAUACCCCUAGGCUGAGGAGCAAAAUGAGAAAUCCCCCCCAGGAGGGCCUCGCGUCUGAGUAGCUAUUUGGUGAGGCAAUAGCGUACCAGGCGAGGACAUAUCUGGUUCCGAGAGGAUGAUCCACCCCAACUGGGCUGAGACACGGCCGGCAGACUCCUACGGUAGGAGCAGUGGGGGGAAAUUUUCCUUUCCGCAUGGCAACCUGUCGGAGCAAUGCCGCGUGGAGGUGGAAGGCCUCCGGGUCGUCAACUUCUUUUCUCUCGGAGAAUAACAAUGACGGUAUCUGAGUAAUAAGCAUCGGCUAACCUGUGCCCAUCAGCCGCUGUAAGACAUAGGAUGCAUAGCGUUAUUCCGGAUGAUUGGCGUGAAGGCGCUGUAGGUUGCUUUUCAGUUCCGCUCAAUCCCAGUGGCUCCACCCUGGACGGCGUGGAAACCUACCAAGCGGGAUACGGUAGGGGCAGAGAGGAAGUUUCCUCCUGUGGAGCGGUUAAAUGCAUUUAGAUCGGAAGAACACCAACGGUCGAAGCACUCUGCUGGGCCCCCUGACACUGCGAGACUAAGCUAGGGAGCAAUGGGAUUAGAGACCCCAGUAGUCCCAGCCGUAAACUAUGGAUACUAGUGCUGUGUCUGACUCUGACCUUGCAGUGCUGUGGGGAGCUAAACGCGUUAAGGAUUUCCCGCCUGGGGAUUACGUUCGCAAGAUGAACGCCAGGAUUGACGGGGCCCGCACAGAGCGGUGGAGCAUGUGGUUUAAUUCGCUGCAAGCUAAGACCUUACCAUGGCUUUGACCUGCCGCGAAUCCUCUUGAAAUAGAGGGUGCCCCGGAACGCGGACACAGGUUGGUGCAUGGCUGUCGUCAGCCUCGUGCCGUAAGGUGUUUGGUUAAUCUCGCACCUACGCAACCCUCGUGUUUCGUUGCACUAUGAGUUUGGAAAACCUGAACAGACCCGCCGUUGUUCGCCGGAGGAAGGAGAGAAUGAGGCCAGUCAUCAUAUCCCCCUUAUUCCCUUGGCGACACACUGCUACAUGGUCGGUACAAAGGUCCGCGAUCCUCGCGAGGUGAGCAACUCAAAACUCGUCCUCAGUUUCGGAUUGCAGGCUGCAACUCGCCUGCAUGAAGCAGGAAUCCGCUAGUAAUCGCCGGUCAGCCAUACGGCGGUGAAUCCUUUCCCGGGCCUUUGUACACCAAACCGCCCGUCACACUAUAGAGCUGUCCAUGUUUGAGUCUUAUACCCGUAACCGUAAGGAGGGGAUGCCUAAUGCUGCUGCGACUGGAGUGAAUCGUAACAAGGUAGCCGUACUGUAAGGUGCGGCUG